rnacentral:rRNA from 1 species
GACGAACGCUGGUGGCGUGCCUAAUACAUGCAAGUAGAACGCAGUUGCGAACGGGUGAGUAACGCGUAGGUAACUGCCUCAUAGCGGGGGAUAACUAUUGGAAACGAUAGCUAAUACCGCAUACUGUGAGAUGGACCUGCGUUGUAUUAGCUAGUUGGUGAGGUAAAGGCUCACCAAGGCGACGAUACAUAGACGACCCGAGAGGGUGCACGGCCAACCUGGGACAUGGACACGGCCCAGACUCCUUCGGGAGGCAGCCAUAGGGAAUCUUUGGACAAGGGCGGAAGGCUGGCCGAGCAACGCCGGGUGGGUGGAGAAGGUUUUCGGAUCUUAAAGCUCUGUUGUGAGAGGAGCGGUAACUAACCAGAAAGGGACGGCUAACUACGUGCCAGCAGCCGCGGUAAUAC